AAAUUUGGAUUAAUGCCCCAUGGUAUGUAUUAGCGGCAUCGCUUAUACAUUAAAGGCUACGGUACAGGAUGACUAUGCGUCCCAUUAGUUAGUUGGUAAGGUAACGGCUUACCAAGGCAGCGAUGGGUAGGGGCCCUGAGAGGGGGAUCCCCCACACUGGUACUGAGACACGGACCAGACUCCUACGGGAGGCAGCAGUGAGGAAUAUUGGACAAUGGGCGGGAGCCUGAUCCAGCCAUGCCGCGUGCAGGAAGACGGUCCUAUGGAUUGUAAACUGCUUUUGUACGGGAAGAACAAGGGGCACGUGUGCCCCUCUGACGGUACCGUAAGAAUAAGGAUCGGGUAACUCCGUGCCAGCAGCCGCGGUAAUACGGAGGAUCCGAGCGUUAUCCGGAAUCAUUGGGUUUAAAGGGUCCGUAGGCGGGCCAUUAAGUCAGGGGUGAAAGUCUGCGGCUCAACCGUAGAAUUGCCCUUGAUACUGGUGGUCUUGAGUUAUGGUGAAGUAACUAGAAUAUGUAGUGUAGCGGUGAAAUGCAUAGAUAUUACAUAGAAUACCGAUUGCGAAGGCAGGUUACUAACCAUAUACUGACGCUGAUGGACGAAAGCGUGGGGAGCGAACAGGAUUAGAUACCCUGGUAGUCCACGCCGUAAACGAUGGAUACUAGCUGUCCGGAUGCAAAUCUGGGCGG
rnacentral:rRNA from 1 species